CAGCAAUGCUGCAUUCAGUACUGUCUUUCAACCUAUCUGAUUACUGCCUUCUUAAUUAUAUUUCCGUAUAGAAAUGAAUGAUUUUUUUCAUGAUUGGAGUCUAAGCUACGUCAAAGGGUGUUGAACCUCACCCAGAGAAGAAUCAGGCAUAAUCAGGUAAUUCUCAUGCACAUUAAAAUUUGAGGCCUCUAACUAAAGUGUUGCAUUUAAAAGUUAUCAGUGGCCUUUGAAAUUCUUUUCAGCAGGUAGAGCAAAUAUUACGCAAUCUGCCUAUGAGAAAUACACGCCUCAUGUACAGUUCAAGCUUCUAGGGAUCCUGCUGGGACACGAAGUUGGAAAGGAAGGCUGGAAGCAAACCUCCAUGAGUUCAGGAGCUUCAAGGAGAGGAACUCUACCAACAACCACAGGAACCUGGA
rnacentral:lncRNA from 1 species